AUGGGAGUUUGCCAUAAUUAUUUAAUUUUUAGAAGCAUGAUGCUUAAUUCAUAGAAGGCGUGUCUUUGCUGUUCAUCCGAAUCUGACACUCAGCCUUGUUUUCCAAGCAUUGCCAUGGGUUUGACCACUGAACUUCCACAUGAGGGUUCACUGGUGGUAGAUCCACUACCACUGGUAUCACAGAUCACAGGGUCCGUGCCGUAGGAGGUGCUUGAUCUACUCCCUUACAUCUCUCCCCAUAUGUUUGUGAGAGCUUGCUCAGCCCCUCACUUCUCUUGUUGCCCAGGGAUGGCAUUCUGGGUCAGUUACAGGAAGUGUACAAGAAAGGUUAAUGGAAGAUUGAAAAACAGGUGCUAUUUCACAUUUGUGAAAUCAAAUUCAAUUGAAGAAAAAAAAGAAGAGGAUAAAGAGACCAGUGCUUUGUUCUCAGUCAUUUUCUGCUCAGAUUCAGAAGGCUGUUCUGACUGAUACCUGAGUUAAAUUUUAAUGAAAACCCAGUGUUUAUUGACAUCUGUGAGUUGCCAGGUAGUGUGAAAGUGUACAGAGAAUAAUUUCAGCACCAUAUCACAUACAUUUGGGAAAUUGUGUAUUAUAUGAAAUAAUUAGAAUAUAUUAGAUACAUUUGAAGAAUUAUAGGUAUUGUGAUAGUGAAAAAUUGUUUGGCAGUAAUCACAAAAUAGCAUGUCAAAAAGUGCAAGUUAAUAUAACAUACAUUGAAUCCUAAUUCUGGUAGUUGAGUGGCCUUCAGAAAGUUACUUGACUUUUCUAAACUUCAGUUCCUUAAUCUGUAAUGUAGGUAAUACCUAUCUCAUAAGGAUGUUUUGAGGAUAGAAUUAUACUGUGUGUGUAAAUUGCUCAACACAGUGCUUGCUUGUGGUAGUUGGUAGUGAUUGUUCAAGGGCUGAUGGGACAAGGAAUAAAUGAAAUAUUAGCAAGAUUCUCUCUGGGCAAAUUCCUUGCUUUAUUCCACAUUUACACACUGGCAUCCCACCUUACCCCUGGUGAACACAUAAUUGUGUGCUGUUAUUCACACAUAUGAUCAAUACAGAUCCAUCACUACCCUUGGAAAGCCACACAAAACAUGUCUUAUUGAUGGUGGGCUAGUAGCAUCUGGGGUGAAUCAGAAGGAACAGAGACCAGUCCUGGAAAAGCCAUGUUCUGGAACUUCCGCCCCAUUCACUGGGUCUGAUACCAGAGAAGAUACUUUUCCACUUUGAAUAAAGCUUUUCUUUUGAUUAAUACCUUCACAAUGUGCUGUUUUUCAAAGGACUCUUGUAAAUGUCACCUUCCUCAUCUUUCAGUGCUCAAGAUAGCACUUUGGAAAAGGGCAUUAUUCCUCUUUUCAACUGCUAAAAAUUAUAUAUUUUAAGCUGUUGUAGUGGUAUUAACAUCUCACUAUGUCACUCAUUAAAAUAAUGCAAAUGUAGCUCUUAUUUUCAAAUUAUAAAUGAAGAAUCUGAAGCACCAAAUGUUUUACAGUUAACCCAAAGCUGAUGUGAAAACCAGGACUUUGCAUUUCCCUACCUCUCUUCUGCCAUAAGAUGAUUUACUUUUGCAACAUUUCCUUACAGUUCUGUCGACAGCAAACAUACCCCCCUCAUACAGGCAGAGCUCAACAUCUUGGGGUGCAGAGCUGGACCCAGGAACAGAGAGCGUGUACAUCCUCGGAGGGCAGGCAGUUCCAAGGGGGAGGCCCAUGAGGGGCUGAGCCAGGCUCCUUGCAUUCCUUCAAGAAAACCCGGCAAUGAGAGAAGAUGUAGACCUCUGCACCCCAGGCUUGUGUAGAGGCUGGAGAAGGAAUGAAGGGGGUCAGAUGGUGGCUACGCUGGUGGUGUCCUCAUGGAAACACGACACAGAGGAUGGAGACCCUCACCCAACACUCUCCAGCUUUGUGCUCUCUCCAUUCACAGCUCUCCUUGAAGGACUAGAUGAACAGGAAGAAGCAUAUUUUGUUCUGAGUAUAUCCAAACUGAAGUCACCAGAUACCUAAGCCUUGGGUCCCUCCACCACCCCUUCCUGCACAACAGGAGACUUGGAUCUAAGCACCCCACUCAAAGAUGCUGAAUAAAUAGGAAAGAUCCAACAUGGGAACUACUCAGGAUGCUCCGGAGAAAAAGGUAAAAAAGGGACCAGCAAACAAGCCGAUGAAAAAUACAAAGAAGAAUAACAAACUGUCCCAGGUCAGAGAAGUUUCCAGACAAAACAAUGAACACGAACUGUCAGAACUCAUGAAAAAAAUGGAAGAUAACAAGACAUUACAGAGAUGAAAACCCAUUCUGGAAGCAUUCUCUUGAGGCACAGAAUACCCACUAAGGAAAACAUUUCAUGGUGUGGAAGACAGGCUUGAGAAACUGACCAUGGAAUUCAAAGCAAUUAGAAGGAAGAUAGCAAAUACGGACAAGUAGAAGAAAUAUACCUUAUACAUAAUGAGGUGUUUUCCUGGGGUAGAAAGCAGGCAGAUGUACCAGAAAAAAAAGUAUUAGAAGAUAGAAUGAUUUAUUCUGAAAUAAAGAAUGGUGAACAUCUACAAAUCAAAGGGGAAAAUUGAGAUGGAGCAGUCAAUGCCUACAUUCUGGAUAAGUUUCUGAACAUCAAGGAUAAAGAAAGAAUCCCGUAGGUAUGCAGGCAGAAAAAAACCUGUCAUCUAUAAGGGAGCAAAGAGCAGGCUGGAUUCAGAUUUCUCUACGGCAACAAGCAAUGACAAGAUAAAAUGAAUUGAUGUCCGCAAAGUCCCAAGAGAGAAAAUAAAACACAAAACCUAAGAAUUUUAUAGCAGUCUAAGUUUUGUUCAAUUCUAAAUGAUAAAACAAAGAUAUUAUAAAAGUACAUAUAUAAAACCUAAGAAGGCUUCUUGGAAAAAAACAUUAAAUGAAAACCAGCCAAUAAAAAUAUGAAUCAAGAUGAGUUCAGAAAGCCAUGGAAUGAAAAGACUUGUGAACAUUUAACCAAUUUAAAUACAGACUAUGGCUAAACCUUUCGCACAAUUCUAGUUACAGCAUAGAAUGUAAGUAUUUUAGAUACUACUGGGAAGACCAUCAGAAAAAAAAUCAUUGAAUAAAGUUAAAUCACGCCCCUCCCAAAAGCUCUGAAGAACUUAAGGGCUAGUUAUGUUAGAAGCCUGGGGGAAAUGGAACUCUCAUGCUUCAUUUAUAAGACAGAAAAACAAUUGACUUUAUUUGCAGAUGAUAUGAUGACAUACCUAGAAAAUAACUGGAAAUGUACAUCUCUACUGUGAAAUAGCAUAAACAGGUUAAAAUAAUAAGGCAAUCAUAUGAGCACCUCCCAGAAUAAUAACAUAAUAAUGAUAUCGUGGGAUGAAUAUGAGAGGGUCAACAUUUGAGGUGUUUUAUACGUAUGACAGAAGCUGUUGCAGUUGUCCAAGUGACACACUUGGUGGCAGAGUCAAUAUUCAAAGUCAAGUCUCUGAAGUUCACUGUAUCACUUCAUGCUUCUUAGCUGGAAAAACUUGACCAUGUGUUAAGCUCGGUUUUCUUCAGUAAGAUGAGGACAUAGUCAGUUGACCUUCUUAGUGUUCUGAGGACUGCAGCAUCAGAGGUCUGUGAGCAGGUCUGAGGGGUACCCGGGAAGUGCCAGCCGCGGUCAUGCCAUGCAUGUCCCGCCUCCACUGGGUCAUACUGCUCCUCUGAAAAUGGGAAGCGCCAGCUGCACAUCUGGACUCUAUGUGGUCAACACUUGUUUGUAAUGUUUUACAUAAUCCCCUCUGCAGGAGAGCAUUUAGUUUGUUCUGAGUUCUUGGUUUCCCUCAGUUUUAUAAAGUACAGCCAUCUGUACGAUUCUAACUAUAUGACAUUCUGGAAAAGACAAAAUUAUGGAGACAGUGCAAAGACCAGUGGUUGCCGGGAGUUAGCAGGUGGGGAGGGAUGACUUGAUGAAGCACAGAGGAUUGUCUGGGUGGUCAAACUGGUCUGUGUGAUACUGGGCGGUGGAAGUGUGUCAUUAUACGUUUGUCCAGAUCCACCGAAGGGGCAAGAUCAAGGGUGUACCCCAGUGUUAACUAUGGACUCUGGGUGAUACUGACGUUUCAGUGUGGUUUCCUCAGCUGGAACAAAUGUGCCACUCUGGCGCUCAAUGUUGAUAAGUGGGUGGGAAUUCUGUACUUACUGCUCAUUUUUGCUGUGCACCUAAAGCUGCUCUAAAAAAUAAAAUCUACUUAAAGGAAAAUAAAAA